AAGCUGCCCGGCUGUAAUUUCUGGUUGAGCCGAUCAGAAUCAUUUUGCUCCUGGAAGUUUUGGAGUCACUGGAUAAGUGACAAGUAGUUGACACAUAUUCAUCUGAAACACAACCUCUUAUUAUGCUCUGACACGUCAGGCAUCUGGUUGGCUGGCCCUGCUUCCUGUCCGGUAAGGCCUGCCCCUGUGGAGCCACUAGCAUGCAGUUCCUCUGUGUGUCCAUGGGGUGGAGCUGCUGAGCCAUGGAUGACUUCACUACCAAUGAUUUCACCACCAGAACAUAUGGCACCAGCGGCCUUGACAACAGACUGCUGUUUGGAGAAACCUCUGCUCGGGACAGAGCCAUCAACCUGGUGGUUGGAGGACUGACAUCCCUGCUCGUUGUAGUAACAGUGAUCAGUUCAUUCCUGUUCCCCUCGUUGCCUCCCUGGCCACUCAACGUCUUCUUGGCUUUCUGUAUCCUGCUGACCUGCGGCUCGGCCAUGGUGCUGAUUGUCUGGUACCGGCAGGGGGACUUGGAUCCCAAGUUCAGGAAGUUAAUCUACUACAUGCUGGCCUCCAUCAUGCUGCUGUGUCUCUGUGCUAACCUGUACUACCACGACGUGGGCAGAGGGACGUGAGACUGGACAUGCCUUACUCACCCUUACUGCCACACACCGUCCCUGACUGGACUAGUGGAACCAGUUCUACCAGGAAGAUGAUGGACCUGCCCAGAACCAGUUCCGGUGGGGGGGGGGGCCCACAUUCCACACAGGCACAAGGAGAACAGACAGUUUCCAGACAAGUGACUGUCCACCAAUCAUAGUCAAGUGACUGUUUCUAUUCCACAGAUCAUCUGACCACUCAGCUCUGCACAGCUUCACUUCAGGAUUAUUCAGACCAUUUGUUGCUUUUUUUAUGUAGUAUUUUAUGCAAUAAAUAAUCAUAUCCUGUCUGGCCUGUGAGUUGUUGUCCUGCACCUCUGUCAUAAGCUUUGUUGAUAGCUGGCAUCUCCUGUGUCUUCUUCUUGGACACAUUCUGAUUGUCCCACAUUUUCAGAAAAGUGUCUCCACAUGGUAUUAAAAUGUCUCUUAUCCACUGUC